rnacentral:rRNA from 1 species
UUAACACAUGUAAGUCGAACGCAACCUUCGGGUUGAGUGGCGGACGGGUGAGUAACGCGUGAGAAUCUGCCUUGGGGUCGGGGACAACCACUGGAAACGGUGGCUAAUACCGGAUAAGCCUUUGGGUAAAAAAUUUAUUGCCCCAAGAGGAGCUCGCGUCUGAUUAGCUAGUUGGUGAGGUAAAAGCUCACCAAGGCAGCGAUCAGUAGCUGGUCUGAGAGGACGAUCAGCCACACUGGGACUGAGACACGGCCCAGACUCCUACGGGAGGCAGCAGUGGGGAAUUUUCCGCAAUGGGCGAAAGCCUGACGGAGCAAGACCGCGUGAGGGAGGAAGGCUCUUGGGUUGUAAACCUCUUUUCUCAGGGAAGAAGCUCUGACGGUACCUGAGGAAUCAGCCUCGGCUAACUCCGUGCCAGCAGCCGCGGUAAUACGGAGGAGGCAAGCGUUAUCCGGAAUUAUUGGGCGUGAAGCGUCCGCAGGUGGCGAUUCAAGUCUGCUGUCAAAGCACGGGGCUUAACUCCGUUAAGGCAGUGGAAACUGAAUAGCUAGAGUGCCGUAGGGGUAGAGGGAAUUCCCGGUGUAGCGGUGAAAUGCGUAGAGAUCGGGAAGAACAUCGGUGGCGAAAGCGCUCUACUGGACGGCAACUGACACUCAGGGACGAAAGCUAGGGGAGCGAAUGGGAUUAGAUACCCCAGUAGUCCUAGCUGUAAACGAUGGAUACUAGGUGUAGCUUGUAUCGACCCGAGCUGUGCCGAAGCUAAACGCGUUAAGUAUCCCGGCUGGGGAGUACGCACGCAAGUGUGAAACUCAAAGGAAUUUGAUGGGGGCCCGUACAAGCGGUGGUAGUAUGUGGUUUAAUUCGAUGCAACGCGAAGAACCUUACCAGGGCUUGACAUCGUCCAGGAAUCCCGUUGAAAGCUGGGACUUCCUUCGGGAGCAAGGAACACAGGUGCUGCAUGGCUGUCGUCAGCUCGUGUCGUGAGAUGUUGGGUUUAGUCCCGCAACGAGCGCAACCCUCGUACUUUUAGUCGCCAGCAUUAAGUUGGGCACUCUAGAGAGACUGCCGGUGACAAACCGGAGGAAGGUGGGGAUGACGUCAAGUCAGCAUGCCCCUUACGCUCUGGGC